rnacentral:lncRNA from 1 species
CCAGAAUGCUGCAUUUCUAACACUCUCCCAGAUGGUGCCAAUGUUCCUCAUCCACAGACCACAGCUGAAGUAGCAACUAUGUAAACCUCAGGCUACUCAUCACAGUGCAGAGUGAUUUCACCUAAAGGCACAACAGCAGCUGAUUGCCACAAUACAAACAAGAGCCGCCACUUACUGACAGCAGCUACGUGCCAGGUAAGUCAAAUGAGGAAGAACACCUUCAGUGUGGGGGAGAAAUGGGUCUUCAACGUCAUCUUAGACCAGUGGCUCUCAAAGUAUAUAACAGCAGCGUCAACAUCAGCAUUAUCUGGGAACGUGUUGGAGAUGUGAAUUCUUGGGUUCCACUUCAGACAACGAAUCAGAAAUUCUGGGAUCGCCCUUGGAAAAAUUGUACUGGUACCUGCUUAUGAGGCUCCCAGUGGUACAGGUGAGCAAGAAAAUCACUUCCUGUUUGGCACAAUGAGCGGUAAAAAAUGAAUUCAGCAAGUCCAGGUUGUCCAUAUGCUGAAGACUCUAUAGAAAGAUGUGACCCUUUUCCUAGCUCCUGAGAGAUAACCCUUGUGCCAUGGAGUGAAUGUUUGCAUCUCACAAAAUUCAUAUGUUGAAACCCUGAUCUCAUUAUGGUGGUAUUUGAAGAGAUGGCCUUUGGGAGAUAAUUAGGUCAUGAGGGUGGAGCCCUUAUGAUGAGAUUAGUGCCUUUAUAAGAAGAAACAUUGUUGAGAGAUUCCUUCCUUUCUCUUUGCUCUCUGCAAUGUGAUGAAACACAAAGAAGACAGCUGUCUGCUCACCAAGAAGAGGACCCUCAUCAGACACUGGAUCUACUGGCAUCUUGAUCUUGGAUUUUCUAGCCUCUUUAACUGUGAGAAAUAAAAUGUUUAAG